rnacentral:rRNA from 1 species
UGAGGAAUAUUGGGCAAUGCCCGAAAGGGUGACCCAGCAACGCCGCGUGGAGGAUUAAGGUCGUAAGAUUGUAAACUCCUGUUAGAGGGGAAGAAUAACUAAGUUUGGAGCUUAGUAUGACUGUACCCUCAGAGAAAGCCCCGGCUAACUACGUGCCAGCAGCCGCGGUAAUACGUAGGGGGCAAGCGUUGUCCGGAUUUACUGGGUGUAAAGGGCGCGCAGGCGGAAUGGAAAGUCAGUGGUGAAAUCCUACAGCUUAACUGUAGAACUGCCUUUGAUACUUUCAUUCUUGAGUUCGGGAGAGAGAGACGGAAUUCCAGGUGUAGUGGUGAAAUACGUAGAUAUCUGGAAGAACACCAGUUGCGAAGGCGGUCUCUUGGUCCGAUACUGACGCUGAGGCGCGAAAGCGUGGGGAGCAAACA